rnacentral:antisense_RNA from 1 species
GCAGGCACUCUCAGACCACAGCCUGCUGGCCCCAGCACCCGGUCUUGCUCCCAGCCUCUUCCCACCACAGCAGCCUCUUCCCUCCGGAUUCAGCUCAGGUGCUCAGAACUGCCAGGACCCAGAGGAUUCACAUGCCAGCCCCGGCUGAAGCCCAGCUCCUCAUCAACCGGUGAGCCGCCUGCCAGCUCCUGCUUUGGCUGCCGAGAGGCCUGAAGUGACUAAGACAGAGACACAGCCCCGCAGCACCACAGGGAGGCCCCAAUUACCCCAUGCGGAUGAGUUUCAUGGCCACCUCUAACUAAGGAAAGGACAUCGAUGUCAUCUGUAACUUCCGGUGCACUGGGGCACACAGCUGCAUCUCCCCAUGCUCACCUCCUGCCUCUUGCUCUGCCCAGUAAGCUCGCCAACCCCGCAGACUGCUGGCUCUCAG